UACGGGGGGAGCAAGCGUUGUUCGGAUUUACUGGGCGUAAAGGGCGCGUAGGCGGUCAGCACAAGUCAGUUGUGAAAUCUCCGGGCUUAACUCGGAAAGGUCAACUGAUACUGUGCGACUAGAGUGCGGAAGGGGCAACUGGAAUUCUCGGUGUAGCGGUGAAAUGCGUAGAUAUUGGGAAGAACACCGGUGGCGAAGGCGGCGACCUGGUCCGAUACUGACGCUGAGGCGCGAAAGCGUGGGGAGCAAACAGG
rnacentral:rRNA from 1 species